ACAAAGAGAAUACUCCUUUUAUACAGAAUGGAGCGGGUAGCGGGAAUGGAACCCGCAUCGUUAGCUUGGAAGGCUAGGGGUUAUAGUCGAUGUUGGUUGAUUAUUUUUCACGUCUCUAAUUCAAAACCGAACAUGAAAUUUUGA
rnacentral:rRNA from 1 species